rnacentral:SRP_RNA from 1 species
GCCGGGCGUGGUGGCUCACACCUGUAAUCCCAGCACCCUGGGAGGCUGAGGCGGGUGGAUCACCUGAGGUCAGGAGUUCAAGACCAGCCUGGCCAACAUGGUGAAACCCCGUCUCUA